GUUUAUGUACGAGAAUCCAUAGAAGAACAUUCUAAAGAAAACUCAAAGAGUCCAAAAAAGAGUCAUGAUGAUCAUUUAGCAUCUAUACUUACAAUGCAAAGUUUAUCUAAUCUUGUUCAGUCCGGGUCAAUACAAAUAGUUAAUGAUGUGAAUGGUAGAUACCAAGAAUACUGUAAAUAUGAUAUGCAGCAAGCUAUUUCAAGUACAACACCAGGAGUUGAGCCUAUGAAAUAUAACACAUCAGCUAAUCAUAACCAGUUAACUCAAGGUGAUUCCUCUAAUGAUGAAAAUGAAGGUAGAGAAAAUGUUCCAACUAUUUAUCCCGUUUCUGAUAUUUCUAGUCCCAAGAAAGAGGAUUCAGAAAUAAGUGCUCAUUCUUUAACAUAUGUUACACCAUUAACUGUAGAACCUGAAAUGCUUCAUUUUCAGUUUAAUAAAUCAGAGAGUACAGAUCCAGAUUCUGAUUUAGAAAAUUGUGAAAAAAAUGAUGUCCCCGAUGAUGAAAAGUAUAUGAAUGGGUUUUUAACUGAUGAAAGAGCUCUUGCAUCAUGUACUGCUUGUGGCAAAGUAUUAGAAAAUGAAGAAGAAAUUGUAAUGCAUAGUCAAAUGUGCAAAGCAAUGGUGAAUAAUAGAAACAUUUAUAAUUUACCUGUUAAAAGUACCAGAGACGCCAUGCCACCUAGGUUUCCAUGUGAUGUUUGUGAAAAAAAAUUUAAAAGAAAAGAACACUUAAUUCAGCAUAGAAAACUACAUACUGGAGAACGACCUUACAGUUGUGAAACUUGUAGUAAAUCAUUCAGUCGCAAAGAACAUCUUAUGAGGCAUAUGCUAAGUCAUACUGGUCAGAGAUUGUAUGGUUGUGACUUAUGUCAUAAACAUUUCAGUCGUAAAGAUAAUUUACAUAAACAUAGAACAACACACGGUGUGACAGGACCCCUUGUUUGUGAAAUAUGUGGAAAGUCAUUUAUUGUUAAACACUAUUAUGAUAUGCACAUGGCUACUCAUAAUGAUAUUGAAGACAGUCAAUUGCCAUAUAGUUGUGAUAUAUGCAAAAAAAGAUUUGCAACAAGUCAAUUUUUGGCUACUCAUAGGUUUAGACAUCGAACUAGGAAUAAUUCUACAAAUAGUCAAAAACAAAUGUCUAAUUCUGUUAUAAGUUUUUAGAAGGACAGUGUGGCUGAGUUGGAAACACAGCAGUGGCUGAGUUGGAAACACAGCAGUGGCUGAAGGGCACUGUCUCAGGUUUCAGACUUGAUUAUGGGUGGCUCUAUUGUGUUAUUGAACAGCAACAAAAUCAAAUCUCAACUAACUCAUAUCAAGUUCCUUAUAUUGAUAACAAUUGAUAGACAACUAUUAAUUUACAGGUAUAACCCAAGGUGUUCAAAUUUUUCAGGGUGAUUAUGGGUUCCUACAACAAUUUAUGUUGAAAUAUUUUAUACUAAAUUGGUGCUCUUACCAAUUAAAUUGAUUGUAUGUUACUAAUCAAAACAAUUUUAUAGUACAAUUUUUUUUAACUUAUAUUUAAAGAAUUAGUAUGUGCCUUAAUUAUAAUAAUUUUUAAGUCAAUAUGAGAUAAGAUGAGGGUAGUUCCUUAAUAACAUUAAAUUAUUCAACUAAUUUUUUUUUAGUUUUGAACUUCUAACUAAAAUUUAUUGUUUUAAAUAAUUAAAAAAUAUUAUGUUUUUGUCUGAUUUAUUUGUGUACAAAAUAAACCAAAAAAAAAACAAUAGGGAUGAAUUAUGUUUUAAAUAUAUAAAUAGACUGAUAAUAUAAUAAGACAUUUAUAAGCUCUAAUUGCUCAUUAGUAAAUUAAGUUAUAUUUCUAUGUAUAUAGUUGAUCUUUUUUAGUACAAUGCUCAUUAAUUUUUUUACACACCUAAUUUUUUUUUUUUCUUGAUAUUUAUUAAAUAUUUUGAUACAAUUUUUGUUUUGUUUCCGUUAAAUGAAUUAUGCAUGAACUAUAUAUAUAUAUAUAAGUUUUUUUUUUUAUUAUUUAUUAAACUAAUUUUAUAAAUUGUCAUUUCCUUUUGAACAUGUAUUAUUAUUAUUAUUGUAUGAAAUUACAUUUAAAGCAAAGUGUAUUUGAAUUAUUUUUUAUUUGAUGUAUUUAUGUUCAAAUAUUUAAAAAUAUUUAUGUGUCUCUUAACUUGCAUGAACAUUAACUGUGUUGGAAGUUGACGGUGCCAUUAAUCAUUAUACAAAAUGAUUUUUUAAAUAUGAUAUUUACAAUUUUUUCAUUAAAUAAUGAUUUUUAAUAAAUAUUUUUAUUUAAUUUCAA